GCCUUAGACCAGUGUAACUCUUGUCCUUGUAAGAGUGAGAUCAUGUGAACACACUCAGGGGGAACCCCAUGUGAUGACAAAGGCAGCUGCAAGCCAAGGAGCACCAAUACGGCCAGCAAGCCACCUGAAAGGAAAGAGAUCAGAACAGAUCUUCCCUCAGUCUUGCCAACAACUGUAUCUCCAAUUUUUACCUGUGGUCCAAAAAUGCUGAGUAGAAAAUUCUUGAAGUAGACAAGUUUUAAAUUAUGCACUGCUUGGAUGCUCCUCAACAAGCGCCUUCCGCUGCUCGCUCAAGUUCAGCGAAUUCUUCCAUCAUCAGCUCCUCCUUCUGGUCCUCAACAAGCUCCUCGGUCUGCACCAUCGGUCUCCAGGCCCAGACUCCCGCUCAUGACACAACCUCCUCCACUGCCUGUGCCUCAGAGCCUGCACAGUCACGCUCAGUGACACACUCCGUGCAGUUUUCUCCAGGCCCGAUGGGGACACAGAGCUGUGUUACAUCAUGUCAGACGGCAAUCGACGCGCUGCUAACACAAGCUGACAAGAAGGCCCUAGCAAUCUGCUUAUCUGGAUCCUGCCCUUGCUGAGUAAAGGCCACUAUCAGAAUUAUUCACACGGAAUUACAGCAGCUGGGAGUCUGCAGAGUACUCAUUACAUCACCCUCAGCCUGACAAGACUCCAAGCUCAUAAACGUGGAGAGCCACGGCCAUCGACCUAGAGCUCAUAGAAGUAGAUUUCUUCACACAAUGGGAUGCAACAUGGAAGUCCUGUCAGCUCCCAACACGUAUGCAAACCUGAGCUAAUUGCUCCCAGAAGCACGUUGACGCUGGAUUCAAAGCUGAUUUUUACCUCCCAGAGUGUUUGGGUGACCUGGCUGGGGGAAAGAGGGUUGUGGAUAAACUUUUUGCUCUUGGAGACCCAUCUUUAAAACCACACUGGCCUUCUAGAUAAAUCAUUUAAUUUUCAUUGUUUAAGAAAAAAAUAUUUCAGAGACUGAAAUCAGUUGUAAGUGGGCAUGGGGAACUGCACCAUUUUCCUCUCUCUGGCAAACAUUGCUAGGACUUUUCCCAAAGACUGAAGUUAUCCGUCACUCUGCUCCCGAGGACCAGAGCUCCUCCCAGACAUUUCCAGGCCCUGGAGAGGAGGAUGAGCCCAUAAUGUGGUAGGAGUAGAGUAAGGGUGACUUUGGAAUUCAGCAGCCUUGCACCUUCAGGAGAUAAUUCUGUUCACCUCCUUGCAGCCCACCUGCUUUCCUGGGAGGCGUUUGCUGUCUGGAGGUCGCUGCGUUUUGUUAGUUACCGCGUGCACCGGUAAUGCUUGGCAGAGCACCAAGCCCAGAGAGUCCUCUGCACCCUCCCUUUGCUUCCCGAGACCACAGGCCUCGGCGCUCCAUGUCCACUCUCGGUCUUGUCUCAGAGCACGGGAGGCGAGGCCAUGGAUGGCACCGGAGUGUCCCUUAUGCACCCCAAGGAGGAGCAGACACACGGUGCCUUCUCUUGGCUCCAAUCUUCAGGGCCCGAGGGUGCACCGACCAUCCCGACCUGCUGCCCACUCUCCCCGAAGAUGACGUCUAUUUUUUUAAUCUUGCAGAGAGCUGCGGAGCAGCCCCUGGCUGUGCUUCUGUCGCAGCCAUCUUGGCAAGGCCAGUUCAGUUUAUUUUGUUUUCCCGCGCACAAAUGCGGGCUGUGCGUGGGGAGCCACGGUGGGCCUGGGUGUUCUGCCUUUUCCUGGGGAGCUCCCCCGCCCCGCUAUGGCGCGCGCCUACUGAGCCGCCUGCAGGGAAGGAGCUGCGGGAUCUAACGGGGGACCGGGGCUCCCAUCAAGCAAGUAGCAACGACAGCCGCCUGGCGGAAAUAGCGUGCCCAUAGCGGUCAGAGCAACCGGUUAAACUCUGGGCCCUGCCACGUGGAAGCUGUGCGGCUUUGCACCAAUUGCUACUGGGAACAAGUUCCCAUUUCAUUCCCACGCCACAGCCAGGCAGGGGUGAGGGGGGCAGGUCUGCGCCCCAGAGCCCGGGCCGCCUGAGUGCACAGCUGCCCGCGCGCCAUCUGCUGGUAAGUAGAGGUAACUCAGCGUUCCGCGGCGAAUUUGGAAAUGAUUUCAUCUGGCCCCUUGAUUUUGAGUGGAGGAGGUUUGGGGUUGAAGAAGAAGACAGGCCUGUCUGACUUCUCACAGUGGGACAGUCUGGCGUCUGUGGGUCUGAACCCUGCCUUGGCAAUCAGGAGCUCACGUAACCUUGGGCGUAUUUCGCAACUUCUCAGUAAUCAGUUUUCUUAUCUAUCAAACGAGGGACUUAAUGCUCACUACCUCAAGGAUUUUUUUUUUUUUUUGGUACCGGGGAUCGAACUCGGGUCCUUGAGCUUGUGCAGCAGGAGGCGAAACCCCUGAGCUAAAUCCCCGGCCCCCUCAAGGAUUUUUUUAAAGAAGAUUAAAUUAGGCAACCAGAGCGGAGUGCUUGGCACUAUCUGACCCCUGUGUAGAGCUUCGCCGCUGGGGCAUUCUGCAGCCUAGAGCUAUUGAUCUGUAUUGGUAACUUUCCUGGAAUGGACGGCCUUUUCCUUCAGAUCCAGAAGCUCUGAGUGCAGUCCUGACCGGCGUCAAAGAAGGAUUGACAGCCCUCUGGCCCUUGGCUGGAACAUUUGGCCUUGGCUACUGGGUAGAAGAAUGGAGAUGGCCCGUGGAAGCCAUCAUGAUUCCAGUUCAUUGUGCCUCCUCGAGUGACAUGGGAACUAUACAGAUUUGUUAGGUGAAGGACGAGGAAGGAACCCGACACAGAGCUGCUGUGGGCGGAGAAAGUUCCAUUUGCACUAUCUACUUACAGGAACCACAACACCAGGCAUUUCUCUGUCUUUCUCCAUUUCUGUAACAAUGAUAUUUAGAAAGACCACUUAAUGAACCGUGUAGCACCCUCCCCCAUCUCUUUGAGAAAGGCUGGCAUUCAACUCCUGGUAAUCAUCCUGCCUCAGCCUCCGAGUGCUGGGAUUUCAGAUGUGUGCCACCAAGCCCAGCCAAGACCAUAUUCUUCAAGUAAGUGUGAACACCUUCCUCCUGUUUGUAACUGGCCAUUCUGUUAAUAAUAGGGACUGUGAACCUCAUCAGAAGCCAGAGAGACAAAGAGGGAAACAGAGAAUGAGUACUGCCAUUUUCUCCUCCUCUUCUCAGAUUUUCCAGUGAUGCCUUCCAUGAGUCUGACCCAAAUACACCCAGCAGAUAAGGAGCUUCAGCCAUGUGCCCAUAGAUGUCAGUCUCACAGGACACAGGGCAGGGCAGAGAAUGGGUCUCAGGGAAAAAUGUGGAGAGAAACAUCCACAGCUAUGGUUUGCACAUAUGUACAGGAAGUAUAAAAAUAUUGAGACUAGGGCUGGGGAUUAGCUCAGUAGCAGUGAGCCUGCCUUGAAUGCACAAGGUCCUCAGUUCGAUCCCCAGUACCAAAAAAAAAAAUUAAGAUUAUUUAUAUAUUCAACUGUACUUCCGUCAACUUGAAGAGAUUCUCCAUGAGCUCAUUUGUGAGACUUGUGUUUCCAGUGGUUCUAUUAAAAAUGUUAUUUUCCAGGUUGCCUUGCCACCUUUGUCUGCCAUGAACUGUUGCCACUCUGCCAUGUGCCACCCUGCCUUGGAGCCAGUCAAUUAUAGACUGAAGCCUCUACAAACUAUAGCUAAAUAAGUCUUUCCCCUUUUAAGUUUGGGAGUUGGGUAUUUUGUCUUACCAAUGAGAAAAGUAACUAAGACAUUACUCUUAAACUUCUUUGUCCUUUGGAAUUCAUUUUUCCAUUUCGGGGCAUAGCUAGUAGGUUGGGACAGCUAGCAGGACAGUUAGCAUGUUGGGAGUUUUAUUUCUCCUAUCUCACUCUCACAAAAAUAAAAAAAUUUUUAAAAAAGAAAAGAACAA